rnacentral:tRNA from 1 species
GGGCUGGGGCUCAGUGGCAGAGCACUUGCCUAGCAUGCAUGAGGCACUGGGUUUGAUCCUCAACACCACA